CGCAAGGGUGAGUAAUACAUGGGUAACGUACCUCUAACUCUGGAACAACCACUGGAAACGGUGGCUAAUACCUGAUAGUUUCGAUCUUCCACAUGAAAGAUUGAAUAAAGUAGGGAUCCCUUCGGAGACCUUCUGGUUAGAGAGCGGCUCAUGCGCUAUCAGCUUGUUGGUGAGGUAAAGGCUCACCAAGGCUAUGACGGCUAGGCGAUCUGAGAGGAUGAUCGCCCACAUCGGGACUGAGACACUGCCCGGACUCC
rnacentral:rRNA from 1 species